rnacentral:rRNA from 1 species
GAUGAACGCUGGCGGCGUGCCUAAUACAUGCAAGUCGAGCGAACGGACGAGAAGCUUGCUUUUCUGAUGUUAGCGGCGGACGGGUGAGUAACACGUGGAUAACCUACCUAUAAGACUGGGAUAACUUCGGGAAACCGGAGCUAAUACCGGAUAAUAUUUUGAACCGCAUGGUUCAAAAGUGAAAGACGGUCUUGCUGUCCCUUAUAGAUGGAUCCGCGCUGCAUUAGCUAGUUGGUAAGGUAACGGCUUACCAAGGCAACGAUGCAUAGCCGACCUGAGAGGGUGAUCGGCCACACUGGAACUGAGACACGGUCCAGACUCCUACGGGAGGCAGCAGUAGGGAAUCUUCCGCAAUGGGCGAAAGCCUGACGGAGCAACGCCGCGUGAGUGAUGAAGGUCUUCGGAUCGUAAAACUCUGUUAUUAGGGAAGAACAUAUGUGUAAGUAACUGUGCACAUCUUGACGGUACCUAAUCAGAAAGCCACGGCUAACUACGUG